rnacentral:rRNA from 1 species
CAGCAGUCAAGAAUAUUAGUCAAUGCUCGCAAGAGUGAACUAGCUAACUGAAAUCAUAUUUGUGACAAAUGUGAUGUCGUAAGGGAAAAUAAUGAUAUUACCUUACUAAUAGUGUCGUCUAAAACUGGUGCCAGAAGACUCGGUAAGGCCAGAGACACAAAUGUUAAUCGUCUUAAUCAGGCGUAAAGGGUUUGUAGGCUGCUUUGAAAAUAUUAAUUUAAUAUAGCGAAAGUAGAUUAAUAUCAAUUAAAGCUAGAAUCAAAUAGAGGAUAUUUACGAAAUAAUGCUUAGUAGAGGGCUUAAAUCCGAAGACACUAAGUGGAGUUCCAAUGGCGUAAGCAUUUAUCCAUUAAUGAUUGACGCUGAGAAACGAAGGUGAGGAUAGGAAAUAGGAUUAGAUACCCAGAUACCCCUCUCUGUCAACGAUGAAUGGUAGUUGUUAGUCAAGAAAGACUAGUGACGAAGUUAACACGUUAACCAUUCCGCCUUGUGAGUACGACUGCAAAGUUGAAAACAAAAAAAUUAGUCGGUCUCGGAGCAAACGAAGUGAAGUAUGUUAUUUAAU